rnacentral:siRNA from 1 species
UUGCGGGUGGACACAACGAAG